rnacentral:rRNA from 1 species
AUUGAACGCUGGCGGCAUGCCUUACACAUGCAAGUCGAACGGUAACGGGCCUUCGGGUGCCGACGAGUGGCGAACGGGUGAGUAAUGUAUCGGAACGUACCUUUCAGUGGGGGAUAACGUAGCGAAAGUUACGCUAAUACCGCAUAUUCUGUGAGCAAGAAAGCAGGGGAUCGCAAGAACUUGCGCUGAUUGAGCGGCCGAUAUCAGAUUAGCUAGUUGGUGAGGUAAAGGCCCACCAAGGCGACGAUCUGUAGCGGGUCUGAGAGGAUGAUCCGCCACACUGGAACUGAGACACGGUCCAGACUCCUACGGGAGGCAGCAGUGGGGAAUUUUGGACAAUGGGGGCAACCCUGAUCCAGCCAUGCCGCGUGAGUGAAGAAGGCCUUCGGGUUGUAAAGCUCUUUCGGCCGGGAAGAAAUCGUAUGGGUUAAUACCCUGUGCGGAUGACGGUACCGGCAUAAGAAGCACCGGCUAACUACGUGCCAGCCGCCGCCGUAAUAC